UUUUAAGGUAGUGCCGACCCCGGUCACACACUGAGCAGCUACCUCGUGGAUUCGGCAUUUGCAGGCAACGCCUCCUCACAGAAACUUACCUGGAAAACGGUGGAAUAACGUUAAAGAUUUCGUUGUGAAUCUUGUGAAGUGCAGGUUUCAGAAAAGUUUCUGCGAAGUUGUCUAACUAAGCCGGUGUCAUGGAUUUGAUGUUUCAUUUCGACGAUUCAGUAUGGGAGAACAGGCCUGAAAUCCACAGCACGGACCAUCCGUCUGGUUGGCAAAAAUUCCAUAUAAUGGGCCGCAAAGAUCUUGGAAAUGGCAAAUGGCAAUACGGAGUUGCGGACAUGGAAGGGGACUCCAAAAAUGUAUGGCUACUAGGGGCGUCAGGAAAGAACGAUCCAUUGAAAGGCGUGGGAAACAUCGGACUCCACUUGGGCGGAGAAAACGGUGACCAGAUCAUUGGACUUUUGGCCUAUGAUGAUUGUAUUGUCGUAAAGGGUAGUGAGUGAAAGUCUGAUCUCAUGGCCUCCUACUUACAUUCGCACUUUUUUUAAAAGAUGCGGAAUAACAACUUUGAUGUUUUACUUGUUUUUAAAGGAACGUGAUGGAUUAAUAUUAUAUUCUUUCAUCUCUUCGAGCCAGCACUGAGAAAUAAAUAUUCCAUCGUCCAUUUUUGUAAUAUCCUUAAUCAAAGUUAAUUGGAAAUAAAUGUUCUUAUUGGACCC